rnacentral:rRNA from 1 species
GAUGAACGCUAGCGGGAGGCCUAACACAUGCAAGCCGAGCGGUAGAGUUUCUUCGGAAACUUGAGAGCGGCGCACGGGCGCGUAACACGUGUGCAACCUACCUUUAUCUGGGGGAUAGCCUUUCGAAAGGAAGAUUAAUACCCCAUAAUAUAAUGAUUGGCAUCAAUUAUUAUUGAAAACUCCGGUGGAUAGAGAUGGGCACGCGCAAGAUUAGAUAGUUGGUGAGGUAACGGCUCACCAAGUCAAUGAUCUUUAGGGGUCCUGAGAGGGAGAUCCCCCACACUGGUACUGAGACACGGACCAGACUCCUACGGGAGGCAGCAGUGAGGAAUAUUGGACAAUGGGUGAGAGCCUGAUCCAGCCAUCCCGCGUGAAGGAUGACGGUCCUAUGGAUUGUAAACUUCUUUUGUACAGGGAUAAACCUACCCUCGUGAGGGUAGCUGAAGGUACUGUACGAAUAAGCACCGGCUAACUCCGUG